rnacentral:lncRNA from 1 species
AUUUAGGGUUUGGUUUAGGAUUUGAUUUAGGGUUUAGGGUUUGGAUUAGAAUUUGGAUUAGGAUUUGGAUUAGGAUUUAGGAUUUGAUUUAGGAUUUAGUUAGGGAUUGAUUUAAGGUUUAGGAUUUGAUUAAGAUUUGAAUAGGGUUUGGUCUAGGAUUUAGGAUUUAUCUAGGAUUUGAUUAAGGUUGGAUUAGAAUUAGGAGUUGGUUAGAAUUUAAGGUUUUAUUAGAUUUUUGUUAGGAUUUGACUAAGUUUUCUUUAAUAUUCUUUUAUAUUUCUUUAGGAUUUCCUUGUGUUUCUUUUAUAACUUCAAUAAAAUUUAAUUGAGCUUGCUAAAUGUUUGAUUAUGAUUGUUAAUGUUUAAUU